GGGAGAUAGGUUCCUUUCUCAUUCACAUACAAACUGUCCUGGUGUGAUCUCUGCUGCAGACAUGGAAACAUAGACAGGGACUCCACCCCUGAUACUAUCAUCCUGCACAGUCUAGACAUACCCCAAAUGUUUGAUCAAACAAUGAAAUAUACUGAGCCAUAAUACACUUUCAUCUAUACCCGUGUAACUCCAAUGAAUCCGACAGGCAUCUUCCUGUCAUUAUGUACAGUCCACGUAGGAGCCAGAUACUCUGACAGAGUUGGUCAGCAUUGAUUUCAAUGGAGUUAUGAGUGAAGAAUUCUUCGCAAUUUCCUAAGGCUGACUAGCAAGAAUCUGCCAUUGCUGUUCCAGACCAUUUCUCCACCAAAGUUGACACUACUUUUAAACCUGUCAGACAUUAUCGCCCCAAUGCAAUUUUCCCCAAAAUGUCUUUGUCAUGGACUCAACAAAUAUGAGGUAAUGUCUCUGACCUGUGGAUCACCUGCUUCAGUGCUUUUGUGCUAUCAAGGACAGCCAGAGACACAUUUUAGAUAAAAAGGAUUUACUAAACGGUCACAAAAUAAUACUGAGGGCAGUUAGACACUGACACUGUAGCUCAAGAAAUGGCCAGUCCUGCAAGAUGCUGAGUACAUUCUAUGAGGUGAUUAAUAUCCUCAGGUCCUAAUGCAAUCAAGGCACUCGUUACCUUUCAGACUUGAGCUCUCAGUCCCUAAUGAUUUUGGGUAAAUUAAAACCAAACAACAACAAACUAAAUAGCUAAGAAGCCCGAGUCUUGUUCCUAAAUGGGACUUAUGCUACUAAGUUAGGCACUUUUGAAAAUGGUAUCCUUAAGGCAAGUCUACACUACAGUCCUGCAUCGGCGCAGCUGCACUGCAUUGCACCUGCACUGUGAAGACGCAUGCAUGUGGUGAAGACGCACUAUGCCAACAGGGGAGUGCUCAUCUGUUGGCAUAAUUACUCCCCCUCAGCAUGAAGUGUAAACAAUGUCGGUGGGAGAGCGUCUCCUGCUGACAUAAUGCUAGUGUGGACAGCGCAAAACUUGCAUCACUCAGCGGGUUAGAUCGACUUAACCAGUAGUGUAGACCUGUCCUUAGUCUUUUUUAUAGCAUGAUGCAAGAUGUCUUUUUUUUUCCUUCAGACUUUCUACUAAUUUGAGGUUUUGGAGUCCCUCAGCAAUUAGGUUCCUGGCUGCUAUUCCUCUGAUUAAAAAAUUUAAAGUCAGAAGGGACCAUUAUGCCAUUUAAUCCGUUUUCUGGCAUAACACACGUUAUAGAAUUUCCACCAGAAAAUCCUAUGUGAAGCCAUAAUUUCUGGUUAAAAAGUUUACAUGGCUAACACUUGGAAUUGAACCAAGGCUCCCCAGAACUAAAAGCACCAGCCUAUACAACUAAAGCUAAAGAGCCAGAUUUUCUGAUGAUGGUCUUCUUUAAGAAAGUUGGUUUGACCUUUAUGAGGGAAUGCAGAGUAUAUCCUCCCUUUUUGAAAGUGUUCUAUUGUAGCAGUUCUAAUCAUGUGAAGAGCACCCAGGUAUUAUAGAGAAGGGCACUUUAUAGUUACCUGCUCAUAAAGCUCAUGAUGACACCAAGGCCAAAAGUUUUGAACUUGAGUGCCUAAAGCUAAUCAGGUAAGUUGUAGGUACCCAAAGAUGAAGACCCUGUACCCAGAUCCAAGCACAGCCAACAAAUUACUAUUGUGACAUGAGGCCUAUCUGGAUGACCAACAUCAACUUGGACACCACAGUUCCAUUUAUGGAUCCCAAGCCUUUUCCUCAGCCCUCUUUUAGGACUGUCCUUGCCAACAGGGAGACGUUGGUUUCUCGUGUUGGAGAGCUAAUACUAUACAAGAUGUAAGCUAUCCCCCAGGUUUGUCCCCCAACCAUUUUUGAAUCAUUCUAACCCCCUGAUCACCAGUCCAUGUAAAAGGUUCAUGAGAUGAGAGCAACACCUCUCCCAUCUUUGUUCUAGUCUCACUGUCCGGGAUUAUCAACAUAGCAAAUAAAUAUUUGAGCAGGAAAUAACAUGCAAAACUCAAGAGGCUUAUGCAGCCAUCUGGUGAGCAUGUAAAGCUCUUGAGAAAAAAGGGUAUAAUGAGGGGAACACUGCUCCAGCUUGUCGAUUACAAUAAGAUUUCAGUAUGUAACAGAGUAUCUAAGUGGAAAAUUCUGGGUACCAGAAAUAAAAUGUGAUGCUAUA